rnacentral:rRNA from 2 species
GAUGAACGCGGGCGGCGCGCCUAACACAUGCAAGUCGAACGGUUAAAGCACCUUUUAGGUGUGUAUAAAGUGGCGAACGGCUGAGUAACACGUGGGCAACCUGCCCUCCUCUUGGGGAUAGCCUCGGGAAACCGAGGAUAAUACCCGAUACUUCAAUGUGGCCGCAUGACGACAUUGAGAAAGCUUUUGCGGAGAAGGAUGGGCCCGCGGCCUGUUAGCUUGUUGGUGGGGUAGAGGCCUACCAAGGCAAUGAUGGGUAGCUGGGUUGAGAGACCGACCAGCCAGAUUGGGACUGAGACACGGCCCAGACUCCUACGGGAGGCAGCAGAGGGGAAUCUUGCACAAUGGGCGAAAGCCUGAUGCAGCGACGCCGCGUGCGGGACGAAGGCCUUCGGGUUGUAAACCGCUUUCAGCAGGGACGAGGCGAAAGUGACGGACCUGCAGAAGAGCCC